rnacentral:rRNA from 1 species
GAUGAACGCUGGCGGCGUGCCUAACACAUGCAAGUCGAACGGAGUCCAGCCUUUAAGACCUUCGGGUCAAAGAGGGGAAGACUGAGUGGCGGACGGGUGAGUAACACGUGGGCAACCUGGCUCAUAGAGGGGGAUAACAGAGAGAAAUUUCUGCUAAUACCGCAUAAGCACACACUGCCGCAUGGCAGAGGGUGAAAAGAGAAUCGCUAUGAGAUGGACCCGCGUCUGAUUAGCCAGUUGGCAGGGUAAGAGCCUACCAAAGCGACGAUCAGUAGCCGAUCUGAGAGGAUGAACGGCCACAUUGGGACUGAGACACGGCCCAAACUCCUACGGGAGGCAGCAGUGGGGGAUAUUGCACAAUGGGGGGAACCCUGAUGCAGCGACGCCGCGUGAGUGAAGAAGUAUUUCGGUAUGUAAAGCUCUAUCAGCAGGGAAGAUAAUGACAGUACCGGAAGAAGAAGCCCCGGCUAACUACGUG